UUUUUAUACGACCGCAAAAAAAUUUUUGUGGUCGUAUAUUGGUAUGACGUUGGCGUCGUCGUCCGGCGUCUUCGUCCGAAUACACAUUAGUUUUCGCACUCUAACUUUAGUUUAAGUGAAUGGAUCUCAAUGAAAUUUUACCAUAAGGUUCAAUACCACAAAAGGAAGGUGGGGAUUGAUUUUGGGGGUUAUGGUACUAACAGUUAAGGAAUUAGGGGCCAAAAGGGGCCAAAAAUAAGCAUUUUUGUAACUUCCAGACAUAACUUGUGUGUAAGUGUAUGGAUCUCUCUGACAUUGUACCACAAGGUUCCAUAUCACAAAGGGAAUGCUGGGAUUGAUUUUGGGGGUAAUUGCCUCCAAAUUUUAGGAAUUAGGGGCCAAAAAGGGGCAAAAAACAAGCAUAUUUCUAGUUUCAUGACAAUAUCUUGUUUGUAAGUGUAUGGAUCUUUAUGAAAUUUUACUACAAGGUUCCAUAUCACAAAGGGAAUACUGGGAUUGAUUUUUGGGGUAAUUUCCUCCAAAUUUUAGGAAUUAGGGGCCAAAAAGGGGCAAAAAACAAGCAUUUUUCUAGUUUCAUGACAAUAACUUGUUUGUAAGUGUAUGGAUCUUUAUGAAAUUGUACUACAAGGUUCCAUAUCACAAAGGGAAAGCUGGAAUUGAGUUUGGGGGUAAUUGCCCUAAACGUUUAGGAAUUUGGGGCCAAAAAGGGGCCAAAAAACAAGCAUUUUUAUACGACCGCAAAAAAAUUUUUGUGGUCGUAUAUUGGUAUGACGUUGGCGUCGUCGGCGUCGUCGUCCGAAUACACAUUAGUUUUCGCACUCUUAACUUUAGUUUAAGUGAAUGGAUCUCAAUGAAAUUUUACCAUAAGGUUCAAUACCACAAAAGGAAGGUGGGGAUUGAUUUUGGGGGUUAUGGUACUAACAGUUAAGGAAUUAGGGGCCAAAAAUAAGCAUUUUUGUAACUUCCAGACAUAACUUGUGUGUAAGUAUAUGGAUCUCUCUGACAUUGUACCACAAGGUUCCAUAUCACAAAGGGAAUGCUGGGAUUGAUUUUGGGGGUAAUUGCCUCCAAAUUUUAGGAAUUAGGGGCCAAAAAGGGGCAAAAAACAAGCAUUUUUCUAGUUUCAUGACAAUAACUUGUGUGUUAGUGUAUGGAUCUCUCUGACAUUGUAUCACAAGAUUCCAUAUCACAAAGGGAAUACUGGGAUUGAUUUUUGGGGGUAAUUUCCUCCAAAUUUGGGGAAUUAGGGGCCAAAAAGGGGCAAAAAACUAGCAUUUUUCUAGUUUCAGGACAAUAACUUGUGUGUUAGUGUAUGGAUCUUUAUGAAAUUGUACUGCAAGGUUCCAUAUCACAAAGGGAAAGCUGGGUUGGAGUUUGGGGGUAAUUGCCCUAAACGUUUAGGAAUUAGGGGCCAAAAAGGGACAAAAAAACAAGCAUUUUUCUAGUUUCCAGACAAUAACUUGUGUUCAAGUGAAUGGAUCUCUCUAAAAUUGUACUGCAAGGUACCAUACCACAAAGGGA